rnacentral:rRNA from 1 species
AACGAACGCUGGCGGCAGGCCUAACACAUGCAAGUCGAACGGACGUAGCAAUACGUUAGUGGCUCACGGGAGAGUAACGCGUGGGAACCUACCUUUUGGUUCGGAAUAACAUCGGGAAACUGGUGCUAAUACCGGAUAAGCCCUUCGGGGGAAAGAUUUAUUGCCGAAAGAUGGGCCCGCGUUGGAUUAGCUAGUUGGUGAGGUAAUGGCUCACCAAGGCAACGAUCCAUAGCUGGUCUGAGGGGAUGAUCAGCCUCACUGGGACUGAGACACGGCCCAGACUCCUACGGGAGGCAGCAGUGGGGAAUAUUGGACAAUGGGGGAAACCCUGAUCCAGCCAUGCCGCGUGAAUGAUGAAGGCCUUCGGGUUGUAAAGUUCUUUUGGUGGGGACGAUGAUGACGGUACCCACAGAAUAAGCUCCGGCUAACUUCGUGCCAGCCGCCGCCGUAA